AUGAACGCUGGCGGCGUGCCUAAUACAUGCAAGUCGAGCGAACAGACGAGGAGCUUGCUCCUCUGACGUUAGCGGCGGACGGGUGAGUAACACGUGGAUAACCUACCUAUAAGACUGGGAUAACUUCGGGAAACCGGAGCUAAUACCGGAUAAUAUAUUGAACCGCAUGGUUCAAUAGUGAAAGACGGUUUUGCUGUUACUUAUAGAUGGAUCCGCGCCGCAUUAGCUAGUUGGUAAGGUAACGGCUUACCAAGGCGACGAUGCGUAGCCGACCUGAGAGGGUGAUCGGCCACACUGGAACUGAGACACGUUCCAGACUCCUACGGGAGGCAGCAGUAGGGAAUCUUCCGCAAUGGACGAAAGCCUGACGGAGCAACGCCGCGUGAGUGAUGAAGGUCUUCGGAUCGUAAAACUCUGUUAUUAGGGAAGAACAAAUGUGUAAGUAACUAUGCACGUCUUGACGGUACCUAAUCAGAAAGCCACGGCUAACUACGUG
rnacentral:rRNA from 1 species